rnacentral:rRNA from 1 species
CCUACGGGAGGCAGCAGUCGAGAAUCAUUCACAAUGGGGGAAACCCUGAUGGUGCGACGCCGCGUGGGGGAAUGAAGGUCUUCGGAUUGUAAACCCCUGUCAUGUGGGAGCAAAUUAAAAAGAUAGUACCACAAGAGGAAGAGACGGCUAACUCUGUGCCAGCAGCCGAGGUAAUACAGAGGUCUCAAGCGUUGUUCGGAAGCACUGGGCGAAAAGCGGGCUUAGGCUGUUUAGUAAGUCGUGUGUGAAAGGCGCGGGCUCAACCCGCGGACGGCACAUGAUACUGCGAGACUAGAGUAAUGGAGGGGGAACCGGAAUUCUCGGUGUAGCAGUGAAAUGCGUAGAUAUCGAGAGGAACACUCGUGGCGAAGGCGGGUUCCUGGACAUUAACUGACGCUGAGGCACGAAGGCCAGGGGAGCGAAAGUGAUGAGAUACCCCAGUAGUC